GUGCUUGCUUUGGCAGCACAUAUAUUAAAAUUGGAAUGGCACAGAGAAGGUUAGCAUGGCCCCUGGGCAAGGAUGACAUGCAAAUUCGUGAAGUGUUCCAUAUUAAA
ensembl:snRNA U6 U6 spliceosomal RNA